rnacentral:rRNA from 1 species
UACGUAGGAUCCAAGCGUUGUCCGGAUUUACUGGGUGUAAAGGGUGCGCAGGCGGCAUGGUAAGUCAGAGGUGAAAUCUCAUCGCUCAACGGUGAAACUGCCUUUGAUACUAUCAUUCUUGAGUCCGAUAGAGAUCUGUGGAAUUCCGAGUGUAGCAGUGAAAUGUGUAGAUAUUCGGAAGAACACCAGUGGCGAAGGCAGCAGAUUGGGUCGGUACUGACGCUCAGGCACGAAAGCAUGGGGAUCAAACAGG